UACGAAGGGGGCUAGCGUUGCUCGGAAUCACUGGGCGUAAAGCGCACGUAGGCGGCUUCUUAAGUCAGGGGUGAAAUCCUGGAGCUCAACUCCAGAACUGCCUUUGAUACUGAGGAGCUUGAGUCGGGAGAGGUGAGUGGAACUGCGAGUGUAGAGGUGAAAUUCGUAGAUAUUCGCAAGAACACCAGUGGCGAAGGCGGCUCACUGGCCCGGUACUGACGCUGAGGUGCGAAAGCG
rnacentral:rRNA from 1 species